GACGAACGCUGGCGGCGUGCUUAACACAUGCAAGUCGAACGGAAAGGCCCUGCUUGCAGUGUACUCGCGUGGCCAACGGGCGGGUAACACGUGGGUGGUCUGCCCUCCUCUUCGGGUUAAGCCUCUGAAACAGGGUCUAACACCGACCAGGUACCAUUUUUAGUGGGAUGGUUGGAAAGUUUUGUCGGUUUUGGAUGAGCUCGCGGCGUAGCAGCUUGUUGGUGGGGUAAUGGCCUACCAAGGCGGCGACGGGUAGCCGGCCUGUGAGGGUGGCCGGCGACAUUGAGUCUGAGAGACGGCACAGACUGCUACGGGACGCAGAAGGGGGGAAGAUUGCAGAAGGGGCGCAAGCUGGAUGAAGCGGGGCCGCGUGGGGGAUGACGGCCUUCGGGUUGUAAACUACUUUCGCAAGGGACGAAGCUUGUUGUGACGGUACCUAGACAAGAAGCACCGGCUAACUACGUG
rnacentral:rRNA from 1 species